GAGUUUGAUCGUGGCUCGGGACGAACGCUGGCGGCGUGCUUAACACAUGCAAGUCGAGCGAGGAGCUUGCUCCUAGCGGCGAACGGGUGAGUAACACGUGGGCAACCUGCCCCAAGCUCUGGAAUAACUCCGGGAAACCGGGGCUAAUGCCGGAUAUGACAUCGCUGGGCAUCUGGUGGUGUGGAAAGAUUUAUCGGCUUGGGAUGGGCCCGCGGCCUAUCAGCUUGUUGGUGGGGUGAUGGCCUACCAAGGCGACGACGGGUAGCCGGCCUGAGAGGGCGAUCGGCCACACUGGGACUGAGACACGGCCCAGACUCCUACGGGAGGCAGCAGUGGGGAAUAUUGCGCAAUGGGCGAAAGCCUGACGCAGCGACGCCGCGUGAGGGGUGAC
rnacentral:rRNA from 1 species